rnacentral:rRNA from 1 species
UGCCAGCCGCCGCGGUAAUACGGAGGGUGCAAGCGUUGUCCGGAUUUAUUGGGUUUAAAGGGUACGUAGGCGGAUGUUCAAGUCAGUGGUGAAAUCCUGCGGCUCAACCGUAGAAUUGCCAUUGAAACUGAAUGUCUUGAGUACAACUGAGGUUACUGGAAUGUGUGGUGUAGCGGUGAAAUGCAUAGAGAUCACACAGAACACCAAUUGCGAAGGCAGAUGACUAAGUUGACACUGACGCUGAGGUACGAAAGCGUGGGGAGCGAACAGGAUUAGAUA